AUAAAUAGUAUAUUAAAUACGUUAGAUUUAGAUUCUAAAAAAAUUUUUAUGU
rnacentral:tRNA from 1 species